rnacentral:rRNA from 1 species
GAUGAACGCUGGCGGCGUGCAUAACACAUUCAAGUCGAACGGACGACGGGGAGCUUGCUUAUUUAACUUAGUGGCGGACGGGUGAGUAACACGUGAGCAACCUACCUUUGAGCGAGGGAUAGCUUCUGGAAACGGAUGGUAAUACCUCAUAACAUGGAAAAGCCGCAUGGCAUUUCUAUCAAAGAUUUAUCGUUCAGAGAUGGGCUCGCGUCUGAUUAGCUAGUUGGUGAGGUAAAGGCCCACCAAGGCGACGAUCAGUAGCCGAACUGAGAGGUUGAUCGGCCACAUUGGGACUGAGACACGGCCCAGACUCCUACGGGGAGGCAGCAGGUCGGGAAUAUUGCACAAUGGGGGAAACCCUGAUGCAGCGACGCCGCGUAAAGGAAGAAGGUCUUCGGAUUGUAAACUUUUGUCGACAGGGAAGAGAACGGACAGUACCUGUGGAGGAAGCCCCGGCUAACUACGUG